ensembl:lncRNA
GACAGAGUGACUCCCUUGAGCACAAAUCAGUGUCAGUGACUCAAUCACCAUGUCUGCUUUGGCAAACAGCACCGCAGUUCUGAAGGAUCAUAAGAACGAAAAUAGAAGACUGAGGCCUAUGUUAUCCAGUCCAGUGACACUUUCCUAGGACUUUGUUCUGUUUUGGUUUGGGGGUGUUUGUUUGGUUUGGUUUGGUUUGGUUUUUUCCUACUGGUCUCAGAAUUUAUCUAUUUGGCUAUAUCAAAUAAGUACAGGGACUCAGUUAAGUACAGGUCUCUUGCCUAAAAUCCUGAUUAUUUCUUUUUUGUCAACAUAAGCGAACACCUCCUUCACAGCAGUAAAUUGCUGCUAGACCUAAAUUUACCCGAUGAUGUGGUAUUAUUCUACUCUGGGUGCUUGUCCAUCGCACAUAUCUGUUUACCCUUUGGAUGCCAUGGCCAUGCAGGUACAGAGGGAGGCUCGCACACGGACACACUCAGUUGAAGACGAACGGCCUCAGCAAACGGCACUGCUUUCCCAACAGAGCACUGGAUGCUUGGAAAAAGGGCUCUUUAUCACAACCCUGCAGAGUUAAUAAGAAAUGCCAUUCUCCUCAAUCAAAGGUACAGGAGAAUUACCUACACCAGCAACAAGCCACAUCUCGUUCCACCUCAGACAAGCCACCUUGCAGAAGGAAAAAAGAAGGAAAGAAUAGCUCAGGAAUAUCUUCCCAUACUGAAAAUCUAAACCAUGUUAAACAAAAACACAAAAUAGAUAAAAAGUUUCUACAGGACAUUUCUGGGCAAAUCAGGGAACACACAAGAACAAACUUCUCUUUUCAGAACAUCACAGCUCCUCUGGAAAUCCCUGUGCCAGCUCAUUCCCUGUCAGCCCCCGUGAGCGCGGCCAGGCAGGCGGCCAGCAGCGAGAGGGGGAUCUGCUGCUCAGGGACACUUCAGCCAUCGCUCCCUGAGGGGUCACAGCCAAACAUCCCAAGGGACUCAAUGGCACCUGCCUGGCCUUGUCCUUCUGAUUUUACGAAUACAGGCAGAGGUGACCAACCUGGCAGCACAGCCUCAGAGACUACUGAGUCCUUACACCUAGAAGGGAGCCAGGAGAACAAGCUGAACAUGGAGCCAGAGGGUCAAAGGUCUGGGACCUUGGAGCCACUGACCCAGGUCUUGGGAAGGGAGAAACCUCCAGGUGAAGCAAACACACAUCCAUCUCCAAAAGACACCUCCAUGCCCAGCUCCCAGCCUGGACAUUCACAUUUAUUCGGUUCAAACACAGAGUCAGCCACAGGGGCUGAAUUACCCAGUAUGGAACACACCAAGUGGCCAAACUUCUCCCAAGCAACCCUCGACCUUCAGGGAAGCACCGAUGGGAAGGGAGCCCCCCGGCAGGAGAAGAGCCAUGGACAGCCCCCUGCAAUGGCCACUGCUGCCUUCACAAAGCCCCCGGUCACUCUCAGGUCCCCCGAGUGCGAGACUUACUCUGCAACACCCUCCAAGACGUACAAAAAGAGAGGGUUAGAGAUGAUGAGGAAGCAAAGCAGGGUUGAGUACGAUGACACUAGCAGUGAUGACGAAGACAGGCUUGUCAUAGAAAUAUAGCACACGGGCUGCUAACGAGAUGCUCGUAUGAUGGCCCAUUACAGAAGGAAAUACCUCGGAUGUUCGACCUGUCUUUCUGAAGCACCUUAAAAUCAGAGAAGCCAUUCCUCUGUGCAAUAGGCAGCGUUCUCUUCUGAAGACUGUCCUUUAUUUCAAGGACUCCAAGUUUUUUAAAGAAGCUUGUUUGAAGCCAAGAGGGAGCUGGCAUCACACACUGAAAUGCAAGUGGCAAACCUGCGCUUCGGAGGGGUUUCCAGCAUUGGUAACAUCCUUCCCUGUCUACGCUGAUUCCCACCAGCGCUGCCAGUCGCUGCAUUACCAACAGGCUGCGGUGUAUUUAUUUCCUACUGACAACCCUGAGCAGCAGCUUCCUCAGCACACGAGCUAAGAUCUCCUGGAAAGGUACGGGAGUGUUCUUUUCUAGACACUCCUCUUUUCUUGCAGUCACUUCCAUCUGGGCUGGGAGCGAUACCCUGGCAUUAAGGGAAGAUCUGUUCCCUGUUGGAAGUUAUAUUGGAAGGGACUGGAAAAAUGCUGAUCUUUUUCCAUGUUGCACAAAUGUCAAUGCUUCUUUGUGACAAAUGACACAAGCAUGCUCUGCUUUGUGUUUUGUGCCUUUUAUGCCAAGACCUACUCAAAUAGUCUUGAUUUCUAGUUGGAGAAUAUGGAUGUUCACUAUUAGUAUUUCCUUGUGGUAAGAUUUCUGACAAGGAUUUUCUCAUUCUAUUCAUCACAUUGUGCUCCGACCAAUAUAAUCUGGAAUGUUUCACUUUCGUUGUACUCUUAAGUUUAACUGCAAUGAUGCUAAUUUAUUGAGAGUAAAGAAGCUAUAUGGCAUAACUUGUUUUCUUUUUUUAACAAAAAGUUUUGUGCUACGAAUCCUGAAAUUUACUGGUUUCUAUGUGAAUAAAUAAUUAGAUAUUUUAAUUUGACUAAGUGCA